UACGGAAGGCAGCAGUGGGGAAUAUUGCACAAUGGGCGAAAGCCUGAUGCAGCUAUGCCGCGUGUAUGAAGAAGGCCUUAGGGUUGUAAAGUACUUUCAUCGGGGAGGAAAAAACAAAACUAAUAAUUUUAUUUCUUGGCGUUACCCGAAAAAGAAGCACCGGCUAACUCCGUGCCAGCAGCCGCGGUAAUACGGAGGGUGCUAGCGUUAAUCAGAAUUACUGGGCGUAAAGAGCACGUAGGUGGUUUUUUUAAGUCAGAUGUGAAAUCCCUGGGCUUAACCUAGGAACUGCAUUUUGAAACUGAAAUACUAGAGUAUCGUAGAGGGAGGUAGAAUUCUAGGUGUAGCGGUGAAAUGCGUAGAUAUCUGGAGGAAUACCUGUGGCGAAAGCGGCCUCCUAAACGAAUACUGACACUGAGGGUGCGAAAGCGUGGGGAGCAAACAGGGAUUAGAUACC
rnacentral:rRNA from 1 species